rnacentral:rRNA from 1 species
GGAGUCUGGACCGUGUCUCAGUUCCAAUGUGGGGGACCUUCCUCUCAGAACCCCUAGCCAUCGUCGGCACGGUGGGCCGUUACCCCGCCGUCUACCUAAUGGCACGCGAGCCGAUCCGUAUGCAAUAAAUCUUUCAACAUCUCCCCAUGCGGAGAAAUGUGUUACGGGGUAUUACGCGACGUUUCCAUCGACUAUCCCCCACAUACGGGCACGUUGCUCACGCGUUACUCACCCUUUCGCCGGUCGCCGCCAGGUAUUGCUACCCGCGAUGCCCCUCGACUUGCAUGUGUUAAGCCUGCCGCUAGCGUUCAUC